rnacentral:lncRNA from 1 species
UAUCGACGGUGCUCCUAAUUAUCGCAAGGUUUUUCCUAAUUAGCAGUUCUAAUUUUCAUUUUUCUUACUUCUUGCUGUGCCACAUGCAGUUUACUGUUUAUUUUAUGAUACCUUUUUCCAUUUUGGAUGUUCUAGACUAUUUGACUUAAAUUUUCAUUUUUCUUACUGCUUCCUGUGCCACAUGCAGUUUACUGCUUAUUGUAUGAUACCUUUUUCCAUUUUUGGAUGUUCUAGACUAUUUGACUUAAAUUUUUCUAACAGAUUAACUUUCCUAUUAUUAUGAUCAUAUUUUCUUUUAUUACUACUGAUUUAAUGCCCAAGUCAAACUCUCUAUCCAGCCGUAAAUGUUUUUCCUAAUCUCUUUGACUGUACAAAGUUUCCUAAGUUUGAUAUUCCUUUUUUGAGUGCAUUUUAUUGAGACAUAACUGUAAAAAAGUAAUGCUAGUUGGCUGGGGCAGAUCCUGCGUGUCUCGUAUGGAUUCAUAUGAACCCAAUAACUUUGGCUCGGACCACUAAUAACGACAAAUAAUAGAUUUCGAACCCAAUAAUUAAAUCAAUGAGCUUUGGUGGAAUCUCGAUUACUCGUAUCCAUAAAGUUCAAAACCUGUUUCCGCCGCUGCUAGUUGGACCUAUUUGUGGAUGAGUUAAACACAUCUCUCUUGAUUCACUAAACCCCUCUAAAUUCUUCAAUGGUUUCACUUUGGUCAUAUUGCAUACAUCUAUUGAUGAAUUAUUGUAAGAUUAAGCAAAGUGCAAUAUUCCGUAUCUACAUGUAAAAGUUAACUUAAGAGCUAAUUAUUCCGCUUGUUUAUUUAUUCCUUUUAUCUUUUUUUUUUCGUGACUGUUGUUUGGUUGAAAAAAGUGUACCGCAUUCUCCUAUUCAUCCAAUACUAACGGAUGUUAGAAAGUUGAAAUUUGGGGUUUGCAUAAUUCCAGAUGUUUACAUCUCCUCUUUAUAUUCUUUUUUAGUUCUUUUUCUUUAGAUAGGUAAAGGUUAUAUACUUGCAUUGUCAGUGUAUAGAUUCUUUACACC